GUGUUCUCAAACUUCAGUGACACAUAUACUAAAAUUGGAAUAAUACAGAGAUUAGCAUGGCCCCUGCUCAAGGAUGACACGCAAAUGCCGAAAGAAGUUAUUUUAUUUC
ensembl:snRNA U6 U6 spliceosomal RNA